rnacentral:rRNA from 1 species
GACGAACGCUGGCGGCGUGCUUAACACAUGCAAGUCGAACGGAAAGGCCCCUUCGGGGGUACUCGAGUGGCGAACGGGUGAGUAACACGUGAGUAACCUGCCCUUGACUUCGGGAUAACUUCAGGAAACUGGGGCUAAUACCGGAUAGGAAUCCUUGCUGCAUGGUGGGGGUUGGAAAGCUUCGGCGGUUUUGGAUGGACUCGCGGCUUAUCAGCUUGUUGGUGGGGUAGUGGCUUACCAAGGCUUUGACGGGUAGCCGGCCUGAGAGGGCGACCGGCCACAUUGGGACUGAGAUACGGCCCAGACUCCUACGGGAGGCAGCAGUGGGGAAUAUUGCACAAUGGGCGGAAGCCUGAUGCAGCAACGCCGCGUGCGGGAUGACGGCCUUCGGGUUGUAAACCGCUUUCAGCAGGGGCGAAGCUUGUGGUGACGGUACCUGCAGAAGAAGCACCGGCUAACUACGCG